GACAGAGGGUGCAAACGUUGCUCGGAAUUACUGGGCGUAAAGCGCGUGUAGGCGGCGCCGCACGUCGGGUGUGAAAGCCCGGGGCUCAACCCCGGAAGCGCACUCGCAACGACGGCGCUCGAGUACUGAAGAGGAGGGCGGAAUUCCCGGUGUAGAGGUGAAAUUCGUAGAUAUCGGGAGGAACACCAGUGGCGAAGGCGGCCCUCUGGGCAGAUACUGACGCUGAGACGCGAAAGCGUGGGUAGCAAACAGG
rnacentral:rRNA from 1 species